AUUAUAUGCAUGCAUCCAUGAGUGCGAAUUAAAUUACGAACAAGUAUAAUUAUAAUAUACCCUUACUAUAAAUAAUACUAUUGACUUAAAAUUGUCCCACUGUAAGCAAAGUGUUCAUGUAUAAAUCGGCACCAAAAGAAUGUGACUGCUGAAGGGGGUUUACAGACAAAAACAAAGAUAACUCGAGAUCUGAAAGGGGAUUUUUGGUCUGGGGUACAUCCACUAAUUCAUUCCCCUCUUCAACAUCAUCUUCCUCGACCCCAUACUGGUUUGGAUCAACAUUUAGAUCAAACAAAGGGUUUCCAAUUGAGAAAGCCGUAUACAGUUGUAUUGGAGACCAGUUUCCUUCUGUUGACAAGGAGUGGUGGUUCCAGCCCUCACGGAAAGCAUCGAGUGAAUUUAUUUAUUCUUGGGAUAAAAACGUAUUGAAGACAAAAAAGAUCAGUAUCAUUUUCCACAUCCAAAACACCACUAAUUUCCAACUGCUUGAACACAGUAGCAUAUGUAGAUACAACACUUGAUCUCACAUCUCUCCACAAUCGUUCUAUCCGACAAUUAUGGACACUACUACCAGCAAUAUAAGCAUUUGUGUCUUCACCUCUAAUAGCGACCAUGUGCCUCCACAUAUCUACAUUUUCUCCUCCUUUAUCUGUACGCAGUCUUAGUGGACAUCCAUAUUCCCUAAUCGCUGGCAUAAAAAGGUUGUAAACUGUUUCAGCACGAUUAUUGUCCGAGCACUUUUAGAAAAGUAACUAGACGAGAAAAUCUGUCUAUUGCACCGUGAAUUACUAGCCUAUACCUAAUUAGUUUAUGGUGCCCAUCUGCAUGCCAUAGGUAGUUAGGACCUGGGACAUUAUAAACCCGCCUCUGAAUUCUUCGAGAAGUAGUGCUAUGUCCUCGUAUCCGAUGAAUGCUUUCUCGAAGGCGACGUCGUUGUAUGCUAACACUUUGUGACUUCAGAUAUCCAGCUAACAUAACUUCCCCUGCGGUAGGGAAUCGAUCAAUUAUUUCUCUCACAAUAGUGUCCACUUCAUCAUCGUUAAUGUUUUGAUUCGAUGGAACUUGGACAAAUUCCAGUUUUUUGCUCUUCUUUGUAGUGUUUUGACAGAGACAUCGAGAAUUGCUGAGAUAUCUUUCCAUUUAAAAUUAGCAGAUAGUAGGAAGUUUAGAUGACGUUUAUCAACUUUCAGAGGUGGUCUACCCUUUGGUGAGGGAUUCAUAACUAACUUGAUAGGCUUUGUGAGGAGAGUAUUUUAACUUCACUUUGUUUCAGUACAAUGUAGAUAAACUCUAUUUAGAGCACAAUUGAUUCCAGCACGUGUGAAUAAACUCUAUUUAGAGCACAAUUGAUUGACCACGUGUGUUGAUCAACAACAAGCCAGAGGAUAAUUAUGUCAGACAAUGCUGCAUACGAGGCUAUAUCAAGAGCAGUCUCAGAUGCUGUUCUAAUUGGUGUGAGAGAAGGCCUUAGUGGACAACAAGGAACUUUGCAUUCGAGGGCUGCAUUGCUAGGAGAGAGCUCUACGGCCAACAACUCAUUUUCAUCACCGAUGGCUGCAUCUCUAGGAGAGAGCUCAACUGCCAGUAACUCAUUUUCUGCAUCUUUUUUGUCAUCAAAGCCAGACAAAAAACGAAAGCGUUCACUGCCUUCUGUGUUUGAGAAAAAGAAACAAAAAAAAUCUAGCAGCAGCAAGAAGACAUCCUUUUAUGUCAGAGAUAUUGUGGUAAUACCAAGGGAAUGGGGUAAAGACCACAGCCAUGUACCAAUUCCACGCAUGGAGAAAAGGAAGAUACUAUCUGAUGCUGGCCUUUUGGGAAAGUUCGAAUUUAAUUCGGAUAUGAGUGCUGAUGACGUAUCAAAGCUGAUGACGUAUCAAAAGAAAUUUGCACAGUGUUUUCUCAACCUUUCCAACUAUCCUUGAGUCUCAUUGAAAGGGGAGAGCGUUUCAAGUUUAAAUAUCUUCAAAAAUCUGGCGAAGGUACACGGUCGCUCUGCUGUCCGACGGUAAAAGAAAAUUUCAAGUGGACAGGGCGAGUGGUUUCCACGCUAGCCAAAAGUGGGGGAUGCAUCUAUUUGCUUGCUGAUGAAACUAUAGAGUGUCUCUAUGACGUGAGUUUAAAAUGUGACUUAGCAAAGUCUCGGUGUAAAAUGUGUACUGCUGAUACAGUAGCCCUCAUAUAAAAGUUCCCGUUCCGUACCGUUCAAUUUGCGUACAACGGUUCGCGUAGAAACGGAAUGAAAACGGAAGCCAGCUCAUUAAAAUUUAAUACGGUACGGAAAUAACCGUUUUAAUUCUGAAAUAACGUUCGCACGUGUAGCUGCAUGAUUUGCUCCGUAGCUAGCUGGCUAGUGUUCCAAGAAAUCAAGCUGGUGAACUGUUCUACUAAACAAAGAAUCCUCAUCCUUCACAAACAGCUACGGAGCAAGUACAGAAUCCCUAAGAAGCAAGGUCAAGGCGAGCUAGAUCUAGUUAGAAUAAUUACUGACAUUUAGUUUGAACAUUUAUAUUUAUAUUUAUAGCACUGUACAUGAAUUUGUUAUUCUUCAUUUGACAUGAUGUUUUAAUGAUACAGGACAUUGUAUACGAUAGUGUAUAAUUUAUAAUGAAGUGUUCAACAAAAGUAAUAGUACAAUCAGAUCAUAAUAUAAUGUAGCUGUAUCUAAGAUUCCAGACUGAGAGAUCGGGUUGACUUGCUACUACCAACUUUCUCAUCUUCUUCCAGCCUUGCAUGUAAGUUCUGCAGUAUUCCCAGUGCUAUUUGUAUGCCCCUGGAUUACACUAGAGAAGUUAGUACAUUUGUAGCUUGCUUAGUACAUACAGAAUAAAUAAAAAUUAUUAUUGCUAACUCAGCAAAUUCCACCCGUUUUUUCUCCUAGAACGGUGUAGGUAAUUACGGUGCGUUUAUGAAUAAUACGCUACCGUUUAGUUAGCGUUUUCUGACUCCGUAAAAACGGGAACGUUACGUGCAACUGAAACACAACGGGAACUUUUAUAUGAGGGCUACUGUAGCACUCGCCCGCAGACCCACUUAGUGGUUUUGCAUAUAAGGGCAAACUUCCACGAGAUGCGAUUCCCGAGGUAAGACGCUCCUGUACAUAGUCCUUCAAUUGACUAUUAUAAUUAUACACUAACCUUAAAGAGUCACAUUAAACAUACCAGUACUGUGUAUUGUCAACUCACCCAUAACUAGAGUUGGAGCUUCCUCUCAUUUGUCCUCCUGUUUCCCAUGACAUCUGUGAACCCCUGGCAAGAAAGAUUAGCAGUUAUUUAACAUCUACUGCCUCCCCCCCCAUAGUCCGGCCACCUGUUUGAACUUUAAACUGAGAGAAACUGAGAGAAACUGGUUGUACAGUCAUUUUAGCAAAAUUUGCAAUAUUCUGUGCAUCAAGGAUUAGCCUCGAUUCCAGGCCGCACUGAAGAUGGGCCUGGUAUCGACUGUUUGCGCAUGCGCCACCUAUUACCCAGAAACUGGGUAAUUUGGAAAACAUCGUAUAUGCUCAGUAAAAUAAUGACGUCACAGCAAACGGAAGUGGAUUGAAGAAAGUAGAUAGAAGUGCAAUUGUGAAGGUUUCUAGCCUAUCUGAUAGCAUUCCAAUAGCUACCCUUAGCCUGCUAUGUUAACAAAAGACUCACAAGCCUGCAACAGUGUGGAUGACAAUCGUCUGAAAGGAGUGAAGGCUGACAAUAGCCUAUAUGAACAGGCCACACCCAACUGCUACUAACCUUGGUGAAAGUCUACAUGUAUGCAAAUGGACGAAUUAAAAUCCAAAUAAACAUGACUACUAAAAGCCUACAGAACUCUUACUUGCACUAGAUUAAUGCUUGAGCAGCUGUAGCAGUAUACACAGACAAACACGCUACCGUAUACCUCGCUUGCGCAUGCGCACCGAGGCAUAAUAAAGAGUCCUUCAAUUAAGUUUCUAGCUUCAUACUUCAUACAGCUAAUCAUGCCAGCACUGUGUAUUGUCAACUCACUCAUAGGGUAGUUGAGAGUUGGAGCUACCUCCAGUCUGUGCUCCUCCCCGGGACAUCUGUGAACCCCUGGCAAGAAAGAUUAGCAGUUAUUUAGACAUCUACUGUCUCCCCCCUACCAGAGUCAGGCCACCUGUUUGAACUUUAAACUAAGGGAAACUGGUUGUACAGUCCUUUUAGUAAAACUUGCUUCAAUUAAGUUUCUAGCUUCAUACUUUAUACAGCUAAUCAUGCCAGCACUGUGUAUUGUCAACUCACUCAUAGGGCAGUUGAGAGUUGGAGCUACCUUCUGUCUGUGCUCCUCCCCGGGACAUCUGUGAACCCCUGGCAAGAAAGAUUAGCAGUUAUUUAGACAUCUACUGUCUCCCCCCUACCAGAGUCAGGCCACCUGUUUGAACUUUAAACUAAGGGAAACUGGUUGUACAGUCCUUUUAGUAAAACUUGCUUCAAUUAAGUUUCUAGCUUCAUACUUCAUACAGCUAAUCAUGCCAGCACUGUGUAUUGUCAACUCACUCAUAGGGUAGUUGAGAGUUGGAGUUUGAGUUAGAGUUACCUCCUGUCUGUGCUUCUUCCGGGGACAUCUGUGAACCCCUGGCAAGAAAGAUUAGCAGUUAUUUAACACCUACUGCUCCCCCCCAUAGUCCGGCCACCUGUUUGAACUUUAAACUAAGGGAAACUGGUUGUACAGUCCUUUUAGUAAAACUUGCAAUAUUCUGUGUAACUUUGCUGUAACCACACUAAGGAUAGAAAAUCAUUAAACGAUGUUGCAGCUCCAUAUAAUUAUAAUGUCAAUGAAACUCGGUUUAGAAUGGGGUGAAUUUAAUUGAUCUUGGCCUUUCCUCAGAUUUGUAUUAUGCCUGUAGUAGAUCUACAUGUACUGUUGCGCUCUCUAGCAAGUUUAAACUACUUUCUAGUGAUCUCAAA